UCACCUGCACACUCACGUUUUUGUUUUUUAGAAAUGGAAAACAAUUUUGUUCAAACAUUUUUUGAUUCCAGAGAGGGGCCACAUGAAUUUCUUUUUCUCAAGCAUGAUAAUCUCAAUAAAAAGGAGGGCUCCCACACAUAAUACACAAACAGAGAAAUGGAAGAGAGAGGAGUAACGAGAGAGGAAAAACGGAAAGGGGAGUGGAGAUCUGAAAAAAAAAAGAAACAAAAAAAACAGAGGGGACGGAGAGAAGAAAGGAGCGGUCACAGCUUCACAAAAAUGGAGUUUGUAAUCUCUUUUUCUUCCUCCAUUAAUGCAGCUUCACAGUAGUAAACAAAGCAGCCCCAAACCCUCUUAUUCUUCAAAAACAAAUAAUAAACUCCAUUAAAAUGCACCAGAUUUCCUCUAUCCCACCACCCAAACACCUUCAUUUUCUGCUUUAGAAAAUCACCACUAUUACAUUAAUUUUUGGCAUCGGUUGGGUUUCAAGUUUUGUUGGCGGCGAGGUUCCCGAUCGAGACGGUAAUUAGCUGUAACUUCGGUCAUCGGUCCAAGUCAUUUCCUAUGUUUCAAGCACCUUUGGCUUUGCUGUAUUCUUCACUGAGUUAUUUUCACUAGUACAAACCAAAAGCCUUGCAGGGUACUUCAUUGGGCCCCAUCUUCACAUGGCUUGGUCGGAGAUUCCUUCCGUGUUUGUAACUUUUUCUUCCACUCAAAAUUUUAACUUGUCUUUUAGCACAGCUAGCAUUUCUUCCUGUUACCUCUUCUUUUCUUGUUUUUCUCGUUGGUAUGCUAUCAUUAUUGAUUUGUAUACCAGCCUUGUUUCUUUUGUCUUUAGUGCUCUUAACUGGGACUUUGUUUUUAGGUGUCUAAAUUAUGUAUAGCUAUUGAAUCGAAGCUCAUUUCUGACUCAUCUUCA